rnacentral:ncRNA from 2 species
ACCUGGCAUACAAUGUAGAUU